rnacentral:rRNA from 1 species
UACGUAGGGGGCUAGCGUUGUCCGGAAUCAUUGGGCGUAAAGCGCGUGUAGGCGGUCCGGUAAGUCCGCUGUGAAAGUCGGGGGCUCAACCCUCGGAUGCCGGUGGAUACUGCCGGACUAGAGUUCGGAAGAGGCGAGUGGAAUUCCCGGUGUAGCGGUGAAAUGCGCAGAUAUCGGGAGGAACACCUAUGGCGAAGGCAGCUCGCUGGGACGUUACUGACGCUGAGACGCGAAAGCGUGGGGAGCAAACAGG